CAAUUUACUGAACUUUUGAAGCUAUUGAAGCAGGGAUACCUCAUAGCAUCGUUGUGUGGCCAGUAAUAUACACGCUAUACACUGAAGAUACCCCAAUAUUUGGUCUGCAGAUGAUACACAUACAACUUAUUAAACUUUCGAACCUAUUGAAGCAGGGAUACCUCAUAGCAUCGUUGUGUGGCCAGUAAUAUACACGCUAUACACUGAAGAU